rnacentral:rRNA from 1 species
UCCAGACUCCUACGGGAGGCAGCAGUGGGGAAUAUUGCACAAUGGGCGCAAGCCUGAUGCAGCCAUGCCGCGUGUGUGAAGAAGGCCUUAGGGUUGUAAAGCACUUUCAGCGAGGAGGAAGGCAUCAUACUUAAUACGUGUGGUGAUUGACGUUACUCGCAGAAGAAGCACCGGCUAACUCCGUGCCAGCAGCCGCGGUAAUACGGAGGGUGCAAGCGUUAAUCGGAAUUACUGGGCGUAAAGCGCACGCAG